UACGGAGGAUGCAAGCGUUAUCCGGAAUGAUUGGGCGUAAAGCGUCCGCAGGUGGCUAUGUAAGUCUGCUGUUAAAGAGUGAGGCUCAACCUCAUAAGAGCAGUGGAAACUACGUGGCUAGAGUGCGUUCGGGGCAGAGGGAAUUCCUGGUGUAGCGGUGAAAUGCGUAGAUAUCAGGAAGAACACCGGUGGCGAAAGCGCUCUGCUAGGCCGCAACUGACACUGAGGGACGAAAGCUAGGGGAGCGAAUGGG
rnacentral:rRNA from 1 species